ncrna:unclassified sequences skipping-rope RNA
ACUAUUUGAGGUGGAAGAAUUCGUACGAUCCACACGCCGAUGGUAAUGACAGGGGGAAACCCGAGAGAUGCAGGAGGAGCGUACGCCUGCCAAAUAGU